rnacentral:rRNA from 1 species
GACGAACUGUCCUAACGUUGUUCGGAUUCAUUGGGCGUAAAGGGUGCGUAGGCGGCGCGGUAAGUCGGGUGUGAAAUCUCGGAGCUUAACUCCGAACUAGCAUUCGAUACUGCCGUGCUUGAGGACUGGAGAGGAGACUGGAAUUUACGGUGUAGCGGUGAAAUGCGUAGAUAUCGUAAGGAAGACCAGUGGCGAAGGCGGGUCUCUGGACAGUUCCUGACGCUGAGGCACGAAGGCCAGGGGAGCAAACGGG